UUCCAACUUGCAAUCAUCAACUGAUCAUCUGAGUCGCAAUCAUCAACUCGCAAUCAUAACUGAUCAUCUAAGUCAUCAGCAAGUCGCAACCACUGAUCAUCUUCAUCAACUCGCAAUCAAGGUUUCGGCUCUUCACGUUUUCGUUCCGACUCGUAAUCUCCGACUCGCAACCACGGUUCCGAGUCGCAACCGAGAUCUCGACUCUUCACGGCCUGUCGCAACCAUCAUCUUCUCCUUAUCAUUCAUCAUUCAGUUAUCGUCGAUCAUCCGUCGGCCAUCAUCAUCUUCAUCAUUCAGUUACCGUCGAUCUCCGUUCACAAUCAUUCAUCAUCGUUCACCGUUUCGGAACCUGUAUCUCACAAAAGUUUCAUCGUCAACCUCCGUCUUGGUCGUCGACGUUCAUCACCUGUCAUCACACAAUAACCACCACGACCUCCGUUCAUCUCCACUGAUCAUAAUCUUCAUCGUCAUCACCGUCACCGGCGAGUGCAUUAUCACUGUCCCCGGCAACGUUCGACACUCAUCAUCAUCUCCGGUUCAAGUUCGACAUCAAGUUCGGGUUUUCGACACCGUAACACUCAUCUUCGUCAUCUCCGACACACCAUCGACUUCCUCCGACCACCGUUAAUCACCAUCCUCUGUCGCUAAUUUUUCUCCGGUCACCUGUUCAUCCUACGUCAACCACCACAUCACCUGCAUCACAUCAACAACCUCCGUCUUCAGCCAUCAUCUCAAACCACCGCCGCCGAUCAUCUCCAGCGACCAGCUUGUCUUUCACAACCACCUUCGAGAUCCUAUCUCCUACGAACUGUACCUUGGUCUGAGUUUAGUUUGACGGCUGAUUUAUUUGAAUUAGGGUUCAGGUGGGCUUUGAUCGAAGAAGACAGUUGUUGAAUGAAUUAUCAUUUAGGUUUUUAAAUAAUAUAAUAAUCAUUUGA
rnacentral:lncRNA from 1 species